rnacentral:rRNA from 1 species
AUUGAACGCUGGCGGCAUGCUUUACACAUGCAAGUCGAACGGUAACAGGCCGCAAGGUGCUGACGAGUGGCGAACGGGUGAGUAAUGUAUCGGAACGUGCCCAGUCGUGGGGGAUAACGCAGCGAAAGCUGCGCUAAUACCGCAUACGAUCUAUGGAUGAAAGCGGGGGACCGUAAGGCCUCGCGCGAUUGGAGCGGCCGAUAUCAGAUUAGGUAGUUGGUGGGGUAAAGGCUCACCAAGCCAACGAUCUGUAGCUGGUCUGAGAGGACGACCAGCCACACUGGGACUGAGACACGGCCCAGACUCCUACGGGAGGCAGCAGUGGGGAAUUUUGGACAAUGGGCGCAAGCCUGAUCCAGCAAUGCCGCGUGCAGGAAGAAGGCCUUCGGGUUGUAAACUGCUUUUGUACGGAACGAAACGGUCUGGGUUAAUACCUCGGGCUAAUGACGGUACCGUAAGAAUAAGCACCGGCUAACUACGUGCCAGCAGCCGCCGUAUAC